GAGUUUGAUCAUGGCUCAGGAUGAACGCUAGCGGCAGGCCUAAUACAUGCAAGUCGAGGGGCAGCGCGGGUAGCAAUACCUGGCGGCGACCGGCACACGGGUGCGUAACACGUAUACAAUCUGCCUUUAACAGGGGGAUAGCCCGGAGAAAUCCGGAUUAAUACCCCAUAAUAUAUUGAGUGGCAUCACUUGAUAUUGAAAGCUCCGGCGGUUAGAGAUGGGUAUGCGCCUGAUUAGUUAGUUGGUGAGGUAAUGGCUCACCAAGGCGACGACGGGUAGCUGGUCUGAGAGGAUGAUCAGCCACACUGGAACUGAGACACGGUCCAGACUCCUACGGGAGGCAGCAGUGGGGAAUAUUGGACAAUGGGCGCAAGCCUGAUCCAGCCAUGCCGCGUGUGUGAAGAAGGCC
rnacentral:rRNA from 1 species